UGCAACGUUUGACCACUCGUCUUAUUCAAUUUUUUUUGAAAUUAUUAUUUAUUUUAUUUGUGACUUACUUUAUUAUCUACAGUACUUUAAGCACAACUUUUCGUUUUUUAUAUUUACAAAAAAAAUUUGAAUAAGACAAGUGGUCAAACGUUGCAAGCAAAAACUCA
rfam:Oryza glaberrima chromosome 1 Oglab01_0300_23, whole genome shotgun sequence.